rnacentral:lncRNA from 1 species
AUGAGCUCUGGUCAGCGAAAGCGCCCUGGAGAGGUGCUGGAUUCUACCCCAGCUCAGAAACGGAGCAGGCUGCUGGCCUCCAGAGCAGGUGGAACUUGGCAGCCAGAGCCAGUAGAUCGUGAGGAAAGUGCAUCACCUGCUUUAGAGCCUGAAGUCAUAGAUCUCACAGGAGAUUCUCCACAGCCUGAAGUCAUCACUACCACUGACGAUGAAUCUCCUGUGGUAAGUAGUGACAGGCACACUCCUCUCCAUGUUGCAUCCAUAGGAAUUUUCCUGCCCUCUGCAAUUUUACUAAGUCCCCUGGCCUCAAAAUUUGAACAAUGGCUCUGAUUUACCACUUUAGACACAGUUCCCAGUCAACCCCAACCACACUCCCAAACACAUCAGCAUGCCUGAGAAUCAGUUGCAGAGAGUGAACAAGCUAAAAGAGGUUGUUGCUUCAGUGAUUCAAAAGAGAGCACAGGAAGUCUUUGAUUUGAAGAAGUGCUUUAGCUGCAGCAUCAGUUUAAGGUCCCCCUGUCCCUGAGGUGUAAAAAGCAACUGCAGCUGACUGGGGUACACACUAAUUCUGUUUCUUAUUCCUCUAAGUCUUUAAAAGGGGCACAUUUGGGAUUUUUUCUUUUUCCCCUACUAUUUUCAAAGAAUAUACUUUGAUCCAUUUUGCAAGCCUCAGAGCAGUGUGUCUGCUGAAAUAUCUGAUGCCUCUACUGCUGUGCAAAGCAGACACUUGCAGCAAACAUUGCAUGGCACUUAUAUCCUGACAGGGUUGUUCCUGAACCCAUGCAAAGCAAAGGCCUCCAAUUUCACAACACACUUUGCAUGACUCACCUCCACUUACACUAAACACAAGAGCAGGUUUGGGUUGAGGGGUUCUUUUCUCUUCAGUAGCUGCUCCUCUAAAAAGUAGUGCUCAGGCUAUCACAGGUGAACUUGCCAGUUGGAGGGAGAAAGAGGCAAAGAAACAGCUCUGGCCCAAAUCCAAUUAGGGAACUGAAAUGGGGGAGCAGGAAGGGUCAAGUUCCACUGCUUCCUAAGUGUGUCCAUUUCUACCCCGUUCUACCCCUGCAGCAGAGCCCCCAGCAGCCACGUCUUUCCAGGGCCUCGGAGAAUUCACCUGAGCCACUGGAAAGGAACAAUAGAGAGGAGCCAGGAGAAGAUGAUGGGUAUGUGAGAGAGAAAGUGUCUAUUGAAACUCUGAUUUCAUAUAUGUGGUAGAAAGAGGUUUUUGCCAAGCUGUUGGGUUCUGCAGAACUCUGUGCAAAUACUUCCAACUGGGAAUAUAGUGGUCUGCCUGGAGGAGAAUUAAAAUAAACCCAUCAAAAUCCAGCA